GACAAAGUGAAAAUAAAAUAGAAUGUAAAAAACAUAAUUUCAAAUAAAAUACAUUAUAUAUAACACACCUUUUGUAAAGUUAAAAUAAAAUAACUUUAAACAAACCUAAACAUAAGUUAUAAUAACAUAGAUAUAACCUAGAACACCGUAAAAUAGUAUACAAAACAUUAAACGUAACUUAAACAAAAAACAGCAAAAAUAAACAAAAAAUAGCAAAAACAAACAAAAGUUAAAAUAAAAUAUACGUAACUUUAAACAAAGUUAGAAUAAAGUAAAAUAUAUUAAACCUAAUUUAAAAACAAUUAUGUAUAGAAAAAUAGAUACAAGGUAAACGUACUUCUGUCGCGAAAUGCGCAUGGGGCCCCAUAUAAACGGACGUCGCUAAACGCAAGUGUAAAACAAAUCGCAUUGAAACGUUGCAAGCGCGCACGUGUGACGCAGCAAACCGUAAACGAGUGGACUUGCGUAUUCGAGGCGAAAAGACGACAUUUUGGCGCAACGAUUCGGUUUUUGGUUGUAACUUUUGGUUACAUAGCGAGCAUAAUGCGACAAAAUUACGUCACAAAGCAAGUGAUUGCAAGUGACGCAAAAUAAAAAUCUUUGCUUAAUAAUAGGGUUAAAUACGAUUAUUUUUAAUAUCAAAAUACGCUACUUUAAGUUAAGAUUGUAGUAUUAGUUAUCUUUUAAAACAAUAUCAGUACGAUUAGGUUAUAAAACAGUAGUAAAAUGGGUAAUAUAGCUACUUUGUAAAAUCAUUAGUAGUAAUAUAAGUAAUUUGUGGAGUACUAUAUAGUUAAUUUGUAAAACAGUUAAUAGCAUUAAUAUGUGAAAAAGCUAAUAGUAAUGCUGUAUAACUAAAUGUAAACAUUAUAGCUGGUAAUAUAAUAACAAUGGAAGAAAUAACUUAACUUUGUAGAAAGAAGUAUAAUCCCAACCUGCUGCUGUAGAACCGACUUCAUCUGAACUGCAGCGUGGUGUGACCUCCACACGUUGCAAGGACUUUGUGUAAAAACGAGGGUAAUUAUCUUUUAGGUAGGAAAGGGCAAUUAACGCCUUUGACAGAUUAAACGCCGAAUUCCUAGGGAAAAGGAGAAAAACUAUACAAAAAAUUGUAAAAGCGGGAAAAUCAUUAUUCCUUGCAGCGGUUUUACGUAAUUUUAAAUUUUUGCCACGUUUAUGGAAAUUUUGUUUAGAAGCCAGUUUGAAAGCCUUAAAAAAGUGAAGCAUGUUUGUGUGGGAGAUGAGACAGUUUUUGCAAUGAAAAUAUAUCUUAGUUAUUAAACUAUCGGUUGCUACUAAUGCAGUACCAAAAAGAUCAUCGUAGCUUCAUAGCAUAAUAAAUUAAUCUUAGCGUUAUAACCACAUUCUAGUUAGCAAAUAAUGAAAACUUACCUAAAGCGGGAAAACGAGAGAAGCAAUUUAAAGAUAAAGUUUCGGUUUGAUUUUUUUCUCUUGCUCCUAAAGCGGCUAACUAAAAGUUUUGGUAACGAAAAAAAGCCGGCGCCGUAAGGCAAUGAUUAACGCACCUACAUACACCACCAAAUCCUUGACUGGUUACCGGUUUGAGGCUUGAUGCUUCUACAAUAUUGAACUACUGCACUCUUUCCUUUUUUACUGAAAUUAUCAAGAAAAUAAAACAAUGCUGGCUGUUAAACGUCUUGUAUUGUUAAACGACGCUCAUAAAACAUUGAGGGGCAGCGAGAACGGUUGGAAACAACGAAUGGCGUUGACGUGUCCACACGACGACGCUGUACACAAAUAAUGGAGUGCUGUGAAAUUCGAAGGAAUUAAAAUCCAACGAAAAUUGAAAACAACGGUGUGCACAAUUAUACGGAAGCAAAAAAUAAAAAGUGAUUUAUUUCAUAAAUAAAAAGAAGCGCAAAAAAGGUAAGAUAAAGAAAACACGGUCGCUGAAACACAAAAUAUGAAGAGCGUCUUUACCAUACGCACACAACGCUUUUUUAAUGAUACAUUUUCCUUCAAGCAAUUUCAGAUUCUUAUCAUAUAUUAGUACCAAACGCUUUCAAUCUAUACCUAUCUCAAACCAUCAAAUG